rnacentral:ncRNA from 2 species
ACAAUCUGUUGUGGUCACGGUCUUCCAUAGACACAAGAUAUGGAAGCUAAGAGGGAAUUCGGUUCGCCACUCAAAUGGUCAGUCCGAAGCUGUCCCCGCAACUGUAGACGGGUAGCCCGCACCCAAUCGCGCCACUGGAGCCUGGCUCCGGGAAGGCCGGGUGCCGGCGACGACCCGUGAGCCAGGAGACCUGCCGUGUCGACGAACCUUUC